rnacentral:pre_miRNA from 9 species
UGUGCAUCACAGUCAAAUGCUCAAAUGCCUAUGGUGACUGUUCAGGCACCCCGUUGUUUAAGCAUGUACCAUGAUUUCAC